CCUUAGAUAGGUAACUGUUGCCAGGAAAAUGCCCUGUGUGGAUUGGCCUGGACUAAGCAGGAUCCUCCUCUAAAGAGAGAGAUGAGAUGAAUGCCUGACCCAAGUCUGGGGUCUUGGGUGGGAAGGGUGUGGAUAGUAGGUCAGAGGUCAGCAGUGUCUGUGGUGUAGGAUGUAAUCCCAUCUCCACAGAGCUGCAUACAAGUGUGUUUAAGUGUGUGCAAGUGAUUAACUUUGAUUAGUAGUUUCAACUCUUUACAAUGAACAUAUUUAUCUUUUUUAAAAAAUAAAGCCAUUUUAAAAGAUCUUGCCAUAAAACAAUCAUUCCUUAAGUCACCACUUAGGAUAGACCUAGAAUAUUUGUCCUUUCUCAAGAGCACCAGAGAGUUUUCUGGUAAUCCACGCAAUAAACAGUUAUAAAAGGUAAUUGUUGAGAUCAGGGGAAGAUGGCAGAUAGGAGGCAGUGCUAAUGUGUAGCUCCCACAUGGAUGGACAAAACACCAUGUGGAGACUCACACUGUGACCCUGUUGUGCUCCAAGAACUAUCAUAGGAACGUACUGGGAAAACCAAAAGAAUUCACGGAUCCUUUGAAAGAAGAUGUACACCACUGUAAAUUCUGUGGAACAGGAGAAAAACUGUCUUGGAGGAAGGCAUCCUUCUAUUCUACUGAUCAGAAAGCUGGACAUAGUCCCACUGCCAGGCUACACAGUUGGUGCCAUUUGCGGAGGCCCACCCGCAGCGGUCACGUGAAGGACCGAGCGCCGCGCGCCCAGGCGGGGCCUCCGGCCUGCACGAGGAGGGCAGAGUCCGUUGCGGCUGCCGCCCCGACGCCAGCGCAUCCCCGCUCGCCGCGCCCGCCGCCGCGAUGUCCGGGGCCGGCCUAGCCGCGGUGGUGAGCUGCCUGCGCCCGCAGCCCGGCGAGGAGCCGCAGACCCAUGAG
rnacentral:sRNA from 1 species